rnacentral:sRNA from 1 species
GUUUUGCGUGAGUGAUAGAAGUGGAGCUCUUUUUUUAGAGGCUGAAAAAGCCUUUAAAAAAAAGUGGGAACGGAUAGCACGACCCGUA